GGGCAGAACUGUAGGUAGCAGCCACAUUCCAUUGGAGCACAUCUUGGAGGUCCAGUUUUUCCAAAAUACAAGGGGGAAGGUUUUGAUCUUCAUUUCUUGGAAGGAGGUGGCUAAGAAAGGUUAGUUGAUGCCUCUAAAGGCUCUUUUUGUGCCCUCUUGCUCAAUUAGAGCUACUUUUUGGAUCUAGGGUUUCACCAUGAGAGAGAGAGAGAGUAGAAUAGGUAGGUAUGGACUAUAUUUGCUCAAAUGAGGUUGCUUAAGAUGGUUAGAUGAUGUCUCUCCUCUCUUUUUUUCUAUGUUUUCUUCUCUAAUUAGUGAAUCCAAGAAAUAUAUAUGUAGUGCUUUCCAUGAAUGGUGUUU
rnacentral:lncRNA from 1 species